rnacentral:rRNA from 1 species
AUGGCGGCGGCGGCGGGCAGGGGCGGGGGGCCGAGGCGCACGACGCGGGUGGGCCCCUACGAGCUCGGCAAGACCGUCGGCGAGGGCAGCUUCGCCAAGGUCAAGAUCGCCAAGGACACCCGCAACGCCGCCACCUGCGCCAUCAAGGUGCUCGACCGCAACCACGUCCUCCGCCACAAGAUGGUCGAGCAGAUUAAACGGGAGAUCGCCACAAUGAAGCUAAUACGACAUCCAAAUGUGGUCCAGCUGCAUGAGGUGAUGGCUAGCAAAUCAAAGAUAUACAUGGUUCUUGAGUUUGUUGAGGGAGGCGAGCUUUUUGAUAAGAUCGUCAAUUCUGGGAAGCUAGGAGAAGAUGAAGCAAGACGAUACUUCCACCAACUUAUAAAUGCGGUUGAUUAUUGUCAUAGUCGUGGAGUGUACCAUAGAGAUCUCAAGCCAGAAAAUCUGCUCCUUGAUUCAUAUGGAGCUCUCAAAGUUUCGGAUUUCGGUCUCAGCGCAUUUUCUCCGCAAACAAAAGAGGAUGGACUUCUGCAUACUGCUUGUGGAACUCCCAAUUAUGUUGCACCUGAGGUGCUUGCUGAUAAAGGUUAUGAUGGUAUGGCUGCUGAUGUGUGGUCCUGUGGCAUAAUCUUAUUUGUCCUUAUGGCUGGAUAUUUGCCCUUUGAUGACCCCAACUUAAUGACUCUGUAUAAAUUGAUCUCCAGAGCUAAUGUUUCUUGUCCACCAUGGUUUUCUACCGGUGCGAGAAAUCUUAUUAAGCGCAUUCUCGAUCCCAAUCCUCACACUAGGAUAACAAUCGCCCAAAUUUUGGAAGAUGAAUGGUUCAAAAAGGACUAUAAACCACCACAUUCUGAGCACAAUGAAGAUGUGAGCCUUGAAGAUGUCGAUGCUGCAUUCGAUAGUUCAGAGGAACACCUUGUGGCGGAGAGGAGAGAGAAACCAGAAUCCAUGAAUGCAUUUGCUCUUAUUUCAAGGUCUGAGGGAUUCAACCUCGGAAAUUUGUUUGAGAAAGAGAUGAUGGGGAUGGUAAAGCGGGAAACAUCCUUUGCGUCGCAACGUACACCACAAGAGAUCAUGUCUAAAAUAGAGGAAGCCUGUGGCCCUCUUGGUUUCAAUGUGCGGAAACAAAAUUAUAAGAUGAAACUGAAAGGUGACAAGACAGGAAGAAAAGGCCAUUUAUCUGUAGCAACGGAGGUUUUUGAGGUUGCUCCAACACUCCAUAUGGUUGAACUUCGUAAAACUGGAGGGGACACCUUGGAGUUUCACAGUUUCUACAAGAAUUUCUCGUCAGAACUAAAAGACAUUGUGUGGAAAACUGAAUCCAACACAAUUGCGAAAUAG